rnacentral:rRNA from 1 species
GAUGAACGCUGGCGGCGUGCCUAACACAUGCAAGUCGAGCGAACCCUUCGGGGUGAGCGGCGGACGGGUGAGUAACGCGUGGGUAACCUGCCCUAUACACACGGAUAACGUACCGAAAGGUACGCUAAUACGGGGUAAUAUUGUUAGAUGGCAUCAUCUAACAAUCAAAGCUCCGGCGGUAUAGGAUGGACCCGCGUCUGAUUAGCUAGUUGGUGAGGUAAUGGCUUACCAAGGCGACGAUCAGUAGCCGACCUGAGAGGGUGAUCGGCCACACAGGAACUGAGACACGGUCCAGACUCCUACGGGAGGGAGCAGUGGGGAAUAUUGCACAAUGGGCGAAAGCCUGACGCAGCAACGCCGCGUGAGCGAUGAAGGUCUUCGGAUCGUAAAGCUCUGUCCUCAAGGAAGAUAAUGACGGUACUUGAGGAGGAAGCCCCGGCUAACUACGUGCCAGCCGCCGCGGUAA